GUAGGUGGCAAGCGUUGUCCGGAAUUAUUGGGCGUAAAGCGCGCGCAGGUGGGUUCUUUAAGUCUGAUGUGAAAGCCCCCGGGCUCAACCGGGGAGGGCCAUUGGAAACUGGGGAACUUGAGUGCAGGAGAGGAAAGUGGAAUUCCACGUGUAGCGGUGAAAUGCGUAGAUAUGUGGAGGAACACCAGUGGCGAAGGCGACUUUCUGGCCUGUAACUGACACUGAGGCGCGAAAGCGUGGGGAGCAAACAGGAUUAGAUACCCUGGUAGUCCACGCCGUAAACGAUGAGUGCUAAGUGUUGGGGGGUUUCCGCCCCUCAGUGCUGCAGCUAACGCAUUAAGCACUCCGCCUGGGGAGUACGGUCGCAAGACUG
rnacentral:rRNA from 1 species